rnacentral:rRNA from 1 species
GACGAACGCUGGCGGCGUGCCUAAUACAUGCAAGUCGGGCGGAGUUUCCGCUUGGAAGCCUUCGGGCGGAAGGGCGGGAACUUUAGCGGCGAACGGGUGAGUAACACGUGGGCAACCUGCCCGCAAGACGGGGAUAACUGGCGGAAACGUCAGCUAAUACCGGAUAGGCACCGGGAGGGCAUCCUUCCGGUGGGAAAGGCGGAGUUUUCUGCCGCUUGCGGAUGGGCCCGCGGCGCAUUAGCUGGUUGGCGGGGUAACGGCCCACCAAGGCGGCGAUGCGUAGCCGACCUGAGAGGGUGACCGGCCACACUGGGACUGAGACACGGCCCAGACUCCUACGGGAGGCAGCAGUAGGGAAUCUUCGGCAAUGGGCGAGAGCCUGACCGAGCAACGCCGCGUGAGUGAGGAAGGCCUUCGGGUCGUAAAGCUCUGUUGCCAGGGAAGAAUUCCUUCAUGUUAACUGCACUGGAGGUUGACGGUACCUGAGAAGAAAGCCCCGGCUAACUACGUG